GACGAACGCUGGCGGCGUGCUUAACACAUGCAAGUCGAGCGGUAAGGCCCUUUCGGGGGUACACGAGCGGCGAACGGGUGAGUAACACGUGGGUGACCUGCCCUCAGCUCGUGGGAUAAGCCCGGGAAACUGGGUCUAAUACUGGAUAUGACUCCAUGACGCAUGUUGUGGGGUGGAAAGCCUUGUGCGGCUGAGGAUGGGCCCGCGGCCUAUCAGCUUGGUUGGUGGGGNGAUGGCCUACCAAGGCGACGACGGGUAGCCGGCCUGAGAGGGCGACCGGCCAC
rnacentral:rRNA from 1 species